UACAGAGGUCCCGAGCGUUGUUCGGAUUUAUUGGGCGUAAAGGGCGCGUAGGCGGCCCGCUAAGUCAGACGUGAAAUCCCUCGGCUCAACCGGGGAACUGCGUCUGAUACUGGCAGGCUUGAAUCCGGGAGAGGGAUGUGGAAUUCCAGGUGUAGCGGUGAAAUGCGUAGAUAUCUGGAGGAACACCGGUGGCGAAGGCGGCAUCCUGGACCGGUAUUGACGCUGAGGCGCGAAAGCCAGGGGAGCAAACGGG
rnacentral:rRNA from 1 species